AUUGAACGCUGGCGGCAGGCUUAACACAUGCAAGUCGAGCGGGGUGAUGGUGCUUGCACUAUCACUUAGCGGCGGACGGGUGAGUAAUGCUUAGGAAUCUGCCUAUUAGUGGGGGACAACAUUUCGAAAGGAAUGCUAAUACCGCAUACGUCCUACGGGAGAAAGCAGGGGAUCUUCGGACCUUGCGCUAAUAGAUGAGCCUAAGUCGGGUUAGCUAGUUGGUGGGGUAAAGGCCUACCAAGGCGACGAUCUGUAGCGGGUCUGAGAGGAUGAGCCGCCACACUGGGACUGAGACACGGCCCAGACUCCUACGGGAGGCAGCAGUGGGGAAUAUUGGACAAUGGGGGGAUCCCUGAUCCAGCCAUGCCGCGUGUGUGAAGAAGGCCUUUUGGUUGUAAAGCACUUUAAGCGUGGAGGAGGCUACUUUAGUUAAUACCCAGAGAUAGUGGACGUUACUCGCAGAAUAAGCACCGGCUAACUCUGUGCCAGCCGCCGCCGUAACAC
rnacentral:rRNA from 1 species